ACCAGACCCCUCGUCAAGGUGUGGUGUGGCUCAUCCUUUCAUGGCAAGAGCAGCAUUCUGAAGAAACAGGAAAACCCCACCUGGCCCGACCAGUUCAACCUUGGCAAACAUCCUUCCCAACUCUAUCCUGACACUGGAGGUGUGGGAUGAUGUCAUCGGACCAGAUCGCCACAUGGGAACCUGCACCACCACCAUCCGCCCAGGAACACACACUGAGACCUGCCACCUGAAGAAAGGCACCGUCUACUACACCUACAGCUACGGCUACAGUCACUAGAUGGAACAGUAUUAUGGUUAGAAUGUAACCUAUGACCUUGU